GGAGGAAUAUUGGGCAAUGGACGAAAGUCUGACCCAGCAACGCCGCGUGAAGGAUGAAGGCCUUCGGGUCGUAAACUUCUUUUGAGGGAGACGAGAAAGGACGGUAUCCCUCGAAUAAGCCACGGCUAACUACGUGCCAGCAGCCGCGGUAAAACGUAGGUGGCGAGCGUUAUCCGGAUUCAUUGGGCGUAAAGAGCUUGUAGGUGGUGCGAUAAGUUGGACGUGAAAACUCCGGGCUUAACUUGGAGAGGCCGUUCAAUACUGUUGUGCUAGAGGGCGUCAGAGGGAAGUGGAAUUCCUGGUGUAGCAGUGAGAUGCGUAGAUAUCAGGAGGAACAUCCGUGGCGAAGGCGGCUUCCUGGGGCGCACCUGACACUGAGAAGCGAAAGCUAGGGGAGCAAACGGGAUUAGAAACCCCGGUAGUCCUAGCUGUAAACGAUGGAUGCUAGGUGUGAGUGGAUCUAACCCCGCUCGUGCCGAAGCUAACGCGUUAAGCAUCCCGCCUGGGAACUACGAGCGCAAGCUUAAAAACUUAAAUGAAUUGACGGGGUCAUAGCUGUUUCCU
rnacentral:rRNA from 1 species